GUAAAUAAACCUGCGGGCUGGGACCCAGACAAUGGGCCUUGGCGAGGAGUUAAUGGGCUGGGCCUCUCGCGUUAGCCGAGUGUGACCGGAGCUGGCAGGGGGUCUGGCCUGGCGCCAGCAUCGAUUACGACCAGACGGAGCCAGGGCAGACUUGGCACGGGCGGGCCCCACAGCUGGCAGAUUCAGUCACCCUGGCCAUGAGGGCAUUUGGCCUGCCCCGGGCGCCCGCUGCCACCCGCUGGCCGCGCUCCCGCCGGCUGCCCGCGCGGCCCGUGGGGAAGGGCCGCAUGGUUGGCUCCUUGUCCUAUCCUGAGGAGAUCCACGGCCUCACGGUCUUGCUGAGCAAAGAUUUUGCAGGUUUGGCCUGACAUCAGCGGCAUAAAUCAUUCUGCUGGGAAGAGCCUCCGAAGCUGAGGGGAUGGUCAGUACACCUCUUCCCCGAGAGGUCCAGGAAGCCCCACUGAGGAGAGAAAACACCUGGCCCAUGCCCACAGGGAUAGUCCCUGCUCCCGAAGGUGAAGAGCAGGGAGGUCAGGUCCUGCUAGAGCCUACUCAUCCCACAUCUUUGGAGCUACAGGAUCUGUGUUCGUCCCAGAUUGGCUCCACACCGUUCUUGGGGACCCAGGGUUACGGAAGUUACACCAUGUCGUAGCUGCGUUAUCUGGAACAACAGGCCUCCCUAAUCACUGCAACAAGGGACGAGAGAGUCAAGAAUGGCACGUGGGUAUUUUCUGCACCAGCCUGGAAGUGACACAUAUCAUUUCUGCUUGUAUUGUAUUGCUCAGAACUCAUCACGUGGCCCACCUAACAUGAAGAACUAAAUACAAUGUUUAGUGAGCACCACUGUCUCUGCCAUAAUUACUAUGUCUUCUCUCAUCCUGUCUACCAUUUCCUCUCUGGAGCUGCCUGUUUUCUAUUUAUCUUAACCUACACACGGCAAUCUGACUUUCUGACAUAGUACUAGGCCAGGGGACAAAUGCGUGCUGUCGUUUCCUCCUCCCCUGCCCCGCCGCCACUGUUCACUGGUCACGGCUUUCUUUUCUGUGAGUCCAAGAGAAAGCCUCAGGACCUUCCCCAACAAAGGUGGCUGCCAGUCUCUCAGGAUCAUCACUAGAGAUGAAACACACUUGCUAUUCUUUGCCUAAGGAGUCCCGCUGCCCCCUGGGACAUGAACUGGCUUACUCGACUCCACUGCUUUCUCUGGGAUGGGACACGAGGCCAGCAGGCACUGGACCAUUUCUGUUGUUUGUGCCGUGUACAAACACCUAACCUGGGGCCCCCAUGUCACCCAUGUUUUCUGGGCUCUGGUAUUUUCCCUUCAACUUCUGCCACUUUGAUCAGGGUAAGAACAAUCAAAGGAAACUUGACUUCCUUCACAGCUAACAUGGGCGAACACAAGAAAAGGAAUCUUUAGGGGAAAAAACAGAAACACAAGUCUUUCUGACCCAGGACUUUGGAAUGGAACAGUCCAGACCUGCUCUCCAGAAGCCUCUACGGUUUCACAGGUCACUCCCCUAAACCGAGGAAGGGAAUGUUUUGUUCCUACCCUCAGUGAUGCGGAGCAAAGAGAAUAUCCUUCAGUUAAAAAAAUGUAGUAAUGAAUUUAAAGAGGAAAGGAAAUAUUCCUUUUCUUACAGGAUGAACAAAGUAGGAUCUUCAUAAGAAAAUCAGAAUCCUCUCAGCCGUUAAAACUCUGCUCACCACUUUCUGUUUCUUGAGCGCUUUACCCUGAGCCUCUGGGUUCUCCGGUAAGAGACACUUUAGAAAAUAGAGAAGUUGGGGCCGGCUACUGGCUUCCUCGGGUUU